rnacentral:rRNA from 1 species
GAGAGCCGCAGUGAAUAGGCCCAGGCGACUGUUUAGCAAAAACACAGGUCUCUGCGAAGCCGUAAGGCGAAGUAUAGGGGCUGACGCCUGCCCGGUGCUGGAAGGUUAAGAGGAGCGCUUAGCGUAAGCGAAGGUGCGAAUUGAAGCCCCAGUAAACGGCGGCCGUAACUAUAACGGUCCUAAGGUAGCGACAUUCCUUGUCGGGUAAGUUCCGACCCGCACGAAAGGCGCAACGAUCUGGGCACUGUCUCAACGAGAGACUCGGUGAAAUUAUAGUACCUGUGAAGAUGCAGGUUACCCGCGACAGGACGGAAAGACCCCGUGGAGCUUUACUGCAGCCUGAUAUUGAAUGUUGGUA